CUUCAGUGCCAGAAGUCAGAUCAUAUCUGAUGGUAUUUUGGAGACGCUUAAUGCUGCACCAUGGGUGUGCAAUGGGCCUCUGGGCAGGACAGAUUCCUACAGAGAUCUACUUACCACCUUGGACCUGGUGCUGUUUCACAUCCAGCUGCUCGUUGUGCAUCUCAUUCAGUUUUGCUACAAGCAGUUUGCGGGCGCCGUACUCUUGGAGAGAGUGCAUUAGAUACAGUUCAUGCCGAGUUCCAAGGUUUCUCUAUUGUAAUUCCAUCCCCCCAAAAACAGCAGGCACCUUGGAGAGCUCCUGUGAUUCAGGUGAGAACUCUGAAGGCAAACGUGUGCCUCCCCUUCCCCCCAAAAGCAAACUAAAUGUAAAUUCUCAGUUGCCUCAGAGAUCGUUCAGUUUAUCCCCAUGUGAGGCUUGUAAAUACCAACAAGUGGAGGAAACAAAGGAAAGUCUAGAAAUGCUAAGGGAAGAAAUAUUUUUGAGUGUUUCAAUCUAUGUGCUGAAACCCAAGUCUCCAAGGUUCAACAAAUGCUAUCUCCACGACUGUGGAGUCUACAGUCUGUGCAGAAGCUGGUUGUCUGGGACAGCAGCUACAAGUCAAGGCUUCUGGUAGCAGCACAGCCAGCCCUAAGGGAACACGGAUGUUCUUGAGAUCCAGCAUUUCUACAGUGCCAGCUGCUCACCACCAGCUGCAGUACUUCUCCUGGCACUAAAGGAUGAGCACCUGGGAGGAAGAGAUCAGAUGGGUUCAGUGCUAAUAUCUGCUGGGUGCACUCCUCAGACACGGUGGUGACCAUGGCCUUCAAGGGCUCUAGGGCACGGAUUGUCUCCUUCUGAUGAGCUAAAGAGAGCAGAGGUAAGUUCUUACAAUGAGCAACAAAACCUGAAUUUUACUUGAAUUUUGUCUCCUUGAGUAUUUCAGGCUUUGUGGCAAUGAACACUGAUGAUGCCAUCAUGCUUCACUAGGUUGUCAUCAUUUAAACACAGGCAGCAUACGGAGCUGAAGAUAGCUGCUAAUUAGUGGUUUACCUGGCUUUGUAAAGGCAUGGUCUUCACAAACUUAGAUUGACUUUCUUGUCUCCAAAUGCAAGGCCUUGUGCCACCUGCAUACAAACUUGUCUACACAUUCUCUUCUCUUUUCAGGGACGUGUUGCCCUCUCUUCAUUUCUCUUUUUCAUCAGUACAACUAAUAAAGAACUCACUGUUA